UUUCCGUAGGUGAACCUGCGGAGGGAUCAUUACAGAGUCCUCGCCCUCGCGGGUAGAUCUCCCACCCACUGUUAUCGUUACUGUGUUGCUUUGGCGGGCCGCCGGGCCCCGCUCGGCCGCCGGCUCCGGCUGGCGCGCGCCCGCCAGAGGCCCAGCAAACUCUGAAUGUUAGUGUCGUCUGAGUACUAUAUAAUAGUUAAAACUUUCAACAACGGAUCUCUUGGUUCUG
rnacentral:misc_RNA from 1 species